GAAGGAAAGAUGAAAAGAACUUUGAAAAGAGGGUUAAAAGACUUGAAA
rnacentral:rRNA from 1 species